rnacentral:rRNA from 1 species
GAUGAACGCUGGCUACAGGCUUAACACAUGCAAGUCGAGGGGAAACGGCAUUGAGUGCUUGCACUGAAUGGACGUCGACCGGCGCACGGGUGAGUAACGCGUAUCCAACCUUCCCGUUACUGCGGGAUAACCUGCCGAAAGGCAGACUAAUACCGCAUGUUCUUCGAUGACGGCAUCAGAUUCGAAGCAAAGAUCCGUCGGUAACGGAGGGGGAUGCGUCUGAUUAGCUAGUUGGCGGGGCGACGGCCCACCAAGGCGACGAUCAGUAGGGGUUCUGAGAGGAAGGUCCCCCACAUUGGAACUGAGACACGGUCCAAACUCCUACGGGAGGCAGCAGUGAGGAAUAUUGGUCAAUGGGCGGAAGCCUGAACCAGCCAAGUAGCGUGCAGGAUGACGGCCCUACGGGUUGUAAACUGCUUUUAUGCGGGGAUAAAGUGAGGGACGCGCCCCUUUUUGCAGGUACCGCAUGAAUAAGGACCGGCUAAUUCCGUG